GACUCCAUGGUGUAAUGGUUAACACGCCUGAUGGUAAUUCUAUCACGAUAUGUAUGUAAGCAUGCAUUCUGGAGGUCCCUGUUCGAUUCGGGGUGGGGGUCA